UCCAACACGAGCCCCAGAUAUUUAAGUUG
rnacentral:sRNA from 1 species